rnacentral:rRNA from 1 species
GAUGAACGCUGGCGGCGUGCCUAAUACAUGCAAGUCGAGCGAACGGACGAGAAGCUUGCUUCUCUGAUGUUAGCGGCGGACGGGUGAGUAACACGUGGAUAACCUACCUAUAAGACUGGGAUAACUUCGGGAAACCGGAGCUAAUACCGGAUAAUAUUUUGAACCGCAUGGUUCAAAAGUGAAAGACGGCCUUGCUGUCACUUAUAGAUGGAUCCGCGCUGCAUUAGCUAGUUGGUAAGGUAACGGCUUACCAAGGCAACGAUGCAUAGCCGACCUGAGAGGGUGAUCGGCCACACUGGAACUGAGACACGGUCCAGACUCCUACGGGAGGCAGCAGUAGGGAAUCUUCCGCAAUGGGCGAAAGCCUGACGGAGCAACGCCGCGUGAGUGAUGAAGGUCUUCGGAUCGUAAAACUCUGUUAUUAGGGAAGAACAUAUGUGUAAGUAACUGUGCACAUCUUGACGGUACCUAAUCAGAAAGCCACGGCUAACUACGUGCCAGCAGCCGCGGUAAUACGUAGGUGGCAAGCGUUAUCCGGAAUUAUUGGGCGUAAAGCGCGCGUAGGCGGUUUUUUAAGUCUGAUGUGAAAGCCCACGGCUCAUCCGUGGAGGGUCAUUGGAAACUGGAAAACUUGAGUGCAGAAGAGGAAAGUGGAAUUCCAUGUGUAGCGGUGAAAUGCGCAGAGAUAUGGAGGAACACCAGUGGCGAAGGCGACUUUCUGGUCUGUAACUGACGCUGAUGUGCGAAAGCGUGGGGAUCAAACAGGAUUAGAUACCCUGGUAGUCCACGCCGUAAACGAUGAGUGCUAAGUGUUAGGGGGUUUCCGCCCCUUAGUGCUGCAGCUAACGCAUUAAGCACUCCGCCUGGGGAGUACGACCGCAAGGUUGAAACUCAAAGGAAUUGACGGGGACCCGCACAAGCGGUGGAGCAUGUGGUUUAAUUCGAAGCAACGCGAAGAACCUUACCAAAUCUUGACAUCCUUUGACAACUCUAGAGAUAGAGCCUUCCCCUUCGGGGGACAAAGUGACAGGUGGUGCAUGGUUGUCGUCAGCUCGUGUCGUGAGACGUUGGGUUAAGUCCCGCAACGAGCGCAACCCUUAAGCUUAGUUGCCAUCAUUAAGUUGGGCACUCUAAGUUGACUGCCGGUGACAAACCGGAGGAAGGUGGGGAUGACGUCAAAUCAUCAUGCCCCUUAUGAUUUGGGCUACACACGUGCUACAAUGGACAAUACAAAGGGCAGCGAAACCGCGAGGUCAAGCAAAUCCCAUAAAGUUGUUCUCAGUUCGGAUUGUAGUCUGCAACUCGACUACAUGAAGCUGGAAUCGCUAGUAAUCGUAGAUCAGCAUGCUACGGUGAAUACGUUCCCGGGUCU